GUGAGGCGGAGCUAAUCCCUUAAAGCCAUUCUCAGUUCGGAUUGUAGGCUGAAACUCGCCUACAUGAAGCUGGAGUUACUAGUAAUCGCAGAUCAGAAUGCUGCGGUGAAUGCGUUCCCGGGUCUUGUACACACCGCCCGUCACACCACGGAAGUUGGGGGCGCCCGAAGCCACUUAGCUAACCCUUUUGGGAAGCGAGUGUCGAAGGUGAAAUCAAUAACUGGGGUGAAGUCGUAACAAGGUAGC
rnacentral:rRNA from 1 species